AACGAACGCUGGCGGCAGGCUUAACACAUGCAAGUCGAACGGGUGCAGCAAUGCACCAGUGGCAGACGGGUGAGUAACACGUGGGAACCUUCCUAGGGGUACGGAACAACUCAGGGAAACUUGAGCUAAUACCGUAUACGUCCGUGAGGAGAAAGAUUUAUCGCCUUUAGACGGGCCCGCGUCGGAUUAGCUAGUUGGUGGGGUAAUGGCCUACCAAGGCGACGAUCCGUAGCUGAUCUUAGAGGAUGAUCAGCCACACUGGGACUGAGACACGGCCCAGACUCCUACGGGAGGCAGCAGUGGGGAAUCUUGGACAAUGGGCGCAAGCCUGAUCCAGCCAUGCCGCGUGAGUGAAGAAGGUCUUCGGAUUGUAAAGCUCUUUUGCCAGGGACGAUAAUGACGGUACCUGGAGAAUAAGCCCCGGCAAACUUCGUGCCAGCAGCCGCCGUAA
rnacentral:rRNA from 1 species